rnacentral:lncRNA from 1 species
AUCAAAAAUUCCCCAACUGAUUGAGAUUCUAGUUUCCUUUGCAUAAUUUAACUAUCAUAUGUUUAUUAGAUAAUAUGGUAAUGCAAAGAGAGACCUUGUUCCACUAGACUGAUAAUAAACAUGCUACCAACACUGAAUCAAAAAAGCUGGUGCAACAACCCUUCUUUUCCAACGCUUUUCCACACAUGUAACUACCCUCCCACACUUUGAAAAUGAUCCUAACCUUACCCUAGUAACCGUACUCCUCUGUCUUAGGCUAAAGCAAAGACAACACUUUGACACCUUUGAUAGCCACAAAGCACAACUUGAAUACUAUCCAAUCAACCAGAAAUUUGUGGACGGAAUUUUUAUACAGGUGACCCUCAGAUAAGAAUGAAAGUAAGUAAUGCUACAUCUAUCCUUAUCUUUAAACAGAUUACAGGAAACAGAAUAAUAGACACUCUAUAGACCUGGUAAAAUUUAGUUUUGGGUUGGAUUUUGGUUUAAAAAUAUGGUUAUGGGUUAAUUUAAAACUAAAACUAUAUUAACUGUUUUUAUUAUGGGUUAAAUAGGUUCAACCCAAAUGGGUAUGGGGUCGAAACUUAUUCAACCCAAAUCAAGGCCAAAUAUUUAUGGCA